UUUUCACCGUCAAUCUUCUUCUCCUUCCCACCAGCAAGCCCACUGUUUCCCCCCCCUCUUCCUCCAGUGUUUGAUUCCCCUCUCCCUUCUCCCUGUCUCUGCUUAAUAGAAGGUUUUUGCCCUUCCAUGUCCAAUUCCUGAGCUGAUUGAUGGAUAACUUUUCUAAUGCCAUUAGAUCCUGGAAACGCCACUUAUAUUUUUUAGCUCUAGUUUUUUUCCCUUCAUUUGAUACCAUUGCAUUUCUUUGCUUAAUGUUUACAGGAAUCUAAAUAUUGUGAGAAAAGUUGAAAAGCUUUGGGAGCUUGAGGUACAAGAAUUAGAAUCAAUCUUCAAUUUUGUUUGGAUGGAAUUGUUGGCAUAGUAUUUGGACGUGGGAGGAGAGAGACAGAGCAUUUGCUGCAGAUCCUGCACCUCGGAUGCAGUUGGUGGUAUCUGUAGCAUUGUGGAGUCUACAGGUAAGGCUUUCCUGCUUAAAUUUGUGGUGGGAUGCAUACUUAUUGGCUGUAGUAAUAUUUGAAUAGGAUCUUAAUUUUGCUGGUUCUAUGACAACUCUACUGGAAAAGUUUUACUUGUAUGCAUUCGUCUCUUUGCAAUCUGUGAAGCUGUUUGUUAUUAUUGUUCCCAGUAAUUGCAAAUUUGGAAAACUUCCAGUGCCUAGUAAUUUCUUUUUAGUCUAUUCGUAACAAAUUUGUUCAGCACUACUGGUAACAAUUUCUUGAAGGCUACAAAAUCUGCAAUGACGAGGACAAGAUUGGUUGGCCAUAGUUUUUCAAAAUUUACAUGACGCUAAACUGAGGUCUAAGGAUCCAGCCAUGUUCUUUUUCUAUAACAGGAAUCUUGUUAAGUAGCAUAUUCUUUAAAUUUUUUCUAUAACAUGUAUCUUGUUAUUGGGCAUGUAAUUUUUUUUAAUUUUUAAUAAAAAUGUUGUUGGAAACGGGAUAGAAAAGCAUAGAAAAUUAACAUGAUAGAAAAGCAUAAUAUCUCGUAUAUAAUAUCAUUGACAGUAGUAUUUUAGGUUCAAUUUGAUGCAUUGUUUAGGGGAAAGUUUCUGGUAUAAAUUUGCUUCAUGUCAAUUAAGCCACACAUAACACAUAAAAAGGUGGAUCAUAUACACCUGAAAUCCUCUUUUUCUAUGUAAUUUGGUUUAUGUGAACGGUGGCAUAUGUCAUAAUCUACCCAUAUCCUUGUAAAGGGUAUAUUUGGCUUGGAUAUGUUUUAGGUUCUCGAUAUUGUUGUAGUGCUAGAGUUUGAGCUACAAUGUGGAAUGGAAUUUUGUGGCUUGUGUCUUGUGUAUUACUCAGCCUUUGUUGUUAUGACAUGGUUAUAUUUGUGCCUAGUUAUCUGGAAAAUGGAAAGAUGCUGAUUUUGUUUGCAUGAUCAGGCUUAAAUUAGUUCUAGCAACCUUGGCAGGAUGCUGAUACUGAUGCACUGAAUGCAGCAGCAUCACUGUUGUAAGGUUCUCCCAUUAGAAAGAGUCAAAAAGCUAAAAAACCAAAGUGGCAAGGAACUUAUUAAAGUGCUGAAAAUUGGAAGUUGUUGAAACUUGGGCUUGGCUAUCAAGUCAUUGAAACUGGCAAGUGCAGUCAGCACAAUUAAGUCUGAGAGGGCAGGGCAGGACAAGUUAUAUGUAAGGCUGAGAGUCUUAGAGAGGAAAACAUCAGAUGAGGUGUACAAAGUUGGUAGUAUAGAUAACAGAAAUGCUAUCCCUUCAUGAUCCAACAGAUAAGUUGUCAGAGCACAUUCAGGAACAAUGUUCUUAUACAAGCCAUAAGCCUACCAAUACAGAUGAGUUGAUCCAAGGUUCUUCAAAGCGUUCGAGACAGCUCACGUCAUUGAUUUGGAAGGAAUUUGAUAUAUUGUAUGUUGAACCAGAUGGUUCACAAAGAGCACAAUGUAAAUAGUGCAAGCGUGAUUAUGCAUGUGGUGGAACAACCGGAACAAGCAACUUAUGGCGUCAUCUUUCAAAUUGUACUAAGCGUGGACAAUCUGAUUUUGAAGAACGGUCUCCAAUUGACCAAGGAAUUUAUCGGGAAAAGAUGGGUAUUGCUACUGUGAAGCAUAACCAUCCUUAUAGACUAGUGGAGCAAGAAGCAUAACCAUCCUUAAGAAGCUGUAUUCUUUUGAUUAUGAAGAACGUGCUAAGGAAGUUCGGGAUAAAUUUUAUUUACUAUUCGAGGAGUAUGAGAAUACUUUUGAUGGUGAUUUGCUAGAUGGAUCAAUAGCAGGCUGCUCUGGUGGUGAUUUGGGCAAUGACAAUGAUGAUUUUGCUGAAUUUGAGAGUCAACAACAUGCAAACAAGAGGAAUAAGUCACAAGUAGACUCUUAUUUGGAUGAUACUCGACUCCUUUCAACUCAAGAAUUGGAUGUUCUCAAUUUUUGGAAAGAAAACAAAAAUCGGUACCCUAUUCUUUCUUUGAUGGCACGGGAUAUUUUAAGUAUUCCUAUCACUAUAGUGGCCUCGGAAUCAGCUUUCAGUAUUGGUGGUAGAAUUGUGGGUAAAUUUCGUACUUCGCUCCUACCAGAAAAUGUGGAGGUCUUGUUAUGUACUAGGGACUGGUUAUAUGGAGUAACAACUUCUGAAGAUGAAGAAGAUAGAGAAAGACUGAGUAUUGACUUUGCACCAUUAGUUGCUAAACUUACUAACCUUCAUGUUAGCAGAUUCCAACAAUGAGCUGGAGGAGUUUUAUGCUAUGCUAUGUAGUUGUACAAAGCUUGUGCUUGUUAAGUAUCUUGAUAGAGUAGCUAGUUGUGGGAAUUCAAGUAGCUAUUGUUUAUUCUGGUACUGAAGGUUGGCAAGAAGUUUUGGCUAUGUAACCUUUCACUGUUCUAUCAGUUAUUUCUAUUUAUUGAAAAUUUAUCUUUGUUUGUAUGCUAAAUGAAGUGAUUGCUAAUCCUUAUCAGGAUUUUUAACUAUUUUUUAUGUUAA